rnacentral:rRNA from 1 species
CCUACGGGGGGCUGCAGUCAAGAACUUUCCGCAAUGGGCGAAAGCCUGACGGAGCGACGCCGCGUGGAGGAUGAAGUGCUUCGGUAUGUAAACUCCUUUUGCCAGGGAUGAAAUUAUUGACGUUACCUGGAGAAUAAGACGUUGCUAAACUCGUGCCAGCAGCAGCGGUAAUACGAGUGCGUCAAGCGUUAUCCGGAAUCAUUGGGCGUAAAGGGUGUGUAGGCGGUUUUAUUAGUCUUGCGUUAAAUCUACUGGCUCAACCGGUAGCCUGCGUGGGAAACGGUAAGACUUGAGGAUGGUAGGGGUCUUCGGAACUCAUAGUGUAGCGGUGAAAUGCGUUGAUAUUAUGGGGAACACCGAAAGCGAAGGCAGAAGACUGGACCACUCCUGACGCUGAAACACGAAAGCGUGGGUCGCGAAUGGGAUUAGAUACCCCGGUAGUC